AGGCCAUAUGUGACCAAGGGAGUGAGAUUGUGAUGAAAAAAAAGGAAGCAACACGUGAGAAAAUCAUAACUGACUUCUCCUUCUCUCUCCCCACUCCAUGUUCUCUCUUUUCUCUCUCUCCCUCUCUCUUUCAUAAACAAUUUUCAAGCUUUAUUUUUCUUCUGAAACGGAUCAAAAGCCAAAUACCUAUGAACACAACGAUGAACUCCAUGAAGGUGUUCAUCAGUUUUCCAGAUUUUUCCCAAACCACAUCAAAUGCGAAAACUCAUAACACAAACUCCACUCAAUUUUCCUAUCUGAAACCGAAUCUAGCAUUAGUUUAAUCAGAAUCUCAAUCAAACAAACAAAAUACCCUUUUCCCAAUUUAACCCUAGCCCCCACAUUCUCAUUAAGUCAUCACGAUUACAUAGAGUUAUAACAGUAGAGAGAAAAUUGAUAAUAAAAAUGCAACAAGGAAGGUAAACUGGUAUGAAAAAUGGAAAAAAGAACCUUGUCGAAAACAUGGAGUUUCCGGAGAGAACUCAUGCGACCUUCACUACAUUUAGUGUUGAAGGUGUGCCUAGAUUCGAGCAGAAGUUUGCUAGGGAUUUGGGAGAUAUUUAUGCAGAGAUUUAGUAGAGAAUCUUGUGUGUUUUAGAGAGCGAGCAAUGAGGUUUACUUAUAGAGGAGAAUUGGGACGAUGUGGUGAUCCUCGUGAGAAGAUUUUGAGGGGGAAAAGAGGUGAGUAUUGAGUGAUUUUGGAGGGAAUUUGAAGGGUGAAAAAAUUAUGACUGAGAGCAUGAGUUACGUGAGGUUUAUAUGGCAUGUGAUGGGAUGAUGAAGGAUUGAUGUAUGUUGAUGAUACUUCACGAGUUUCCAUGUGUUUCAUGUCAUUUCCUUUUUUCCAAUUUUCAAUUUAUUUUUAUGUAUGUGUGAAUCAUGUUGGUGUGAUAAUGAUGUUAUGGAUGUCGAUGAAACCAUGUUGCUACAAACGAGGAGCUAGUGUCCUUCAAGAA